rnacentral:rRNA from 1 species
AUGCAAGUCGAACGCAGUAGCAAUACUGAGUGGCAGACGGGUGAGUAACAUGUGGGAAUCUGCCUUGUGGUUCAGGACAACAUUGGGAAACCGAUGCUAAUACUGGAUAAGCCCUUACGGGGAAAGUUUUAAUGCCAUAAGAUGAGCCCGCAUUUGAUUAGUUAGUUGGUGAGGUAAUGGCUCACCAAGACAAUGAUCAAUAGCUGAUCUGAGAGGAUGAUCAGCCACACUGGGACUGAGACACGGCCCAGACUCCUACGGGAGGCAGCAGUGGGGAAUCUUGCACAAUGGAGGAAACUCUGAUGCAGCGAUGCCGCGUGAGUGAAGAAGGCCUUUGGGUUGUAAAGCUCUUUUGUAGGGGAAGAUAAUGACUGUACCCUAAGAAUAAGGUCCGGCUAACUUCGUGCCAGCAGCCGCGGUAAUACGAAGGGACCUAGCGUAGUUCGGAAUUACUGGGCGUAAAGCGCGCGUAGGCCGUUGAGUUAGUUAAUUGUGAAAUCCCAAAGCUUAACUUUGGAACUGCAAUUAAAACUGCUCGACUAGAGUUUGAUAGAGGAAAGCGGAAUACAUAGUGUAGAGGUGAAAUUCGUAGAUAUUAUGUAGAACACCAGUUGCGAAGGCGGCUUUCUGGAUCAACACUGACGCUGAGGCGCGAAAGUAUGGGUAGCAAAGAGGAUUAGAUACCCUCGUAGUCCAUACUAUAAACGAUGAUUGCUAGAUGUUGGAAAUUUAUUUUCAGUAUCGCAGCUAACGCAUUAAGCAAUC